GACGAACGCUGGCGGCGUGCUUAACACAUGCAAGUCGAACGGAAAGGCCCUGCUUUUGUGGGGUGCUCGAGUGGCGAACGGGUGAGUAACACGUGAGUAACCUGCCCUUGACUUUGGGAUAACUUCAGGAAACUGGGGCUAAUACCGGAUAGGAGCUCCUGCUGCAUGGUGGGGGGUGGAAAGUCUCGGCGGUCGGGGAUGGACUCGCGGCUUAUCAGCUUGUUGGUGGGGGAGUGGCUUACCCAGGCUUUGACGGGUAGCCCGCCCGAGAGGGUGGCCGGCCACAUUGGGACUGAGAUACGGCCCAGACUCCUACGGGAGGCAGCAGUGGGGAAUAUUGCCCAACGGGAGGAAGCCUGAUGCGGCAGCGCCGCGUUCGGGAUGACGGCCUUCGGGUUGUAAACCGCUUUCGCCUGUGACGAAGCGUGAGUGACGGUAAUGGGUAAAGAAGCACCGGCUAACUACGUG
rnacentral:rRNA from 1 species